UAAUGUUUGUGCUUCAGUCCAGUCGCCCCUUUUUGACAUUCUGCUAGGAGGAAGGAAGACGCAACUGGUGUUUGCUUAGCCAAGAUGCCUGAUGUGGAGUUCUGCCUUGUGUGCGCGCUUGGAGAUAGCCCUCAUUCAUUUUUCAUGGCGCCGAGAUGUCUAUUUGCAGACGUUCAAAUGCACUUUUCCCUCAGCAAAACAAUCGCACAAAGCUGCGGGAAUAAUGCUCGCAUUUUGCCGACAU